GACGGAGGGGGCUAGCGUUGUUCGGAAUGACUGGGCGUAAAGGGCGCGUAGGCGGUUUUUUAAGUUAGGCGUGAAAGCCCUGGGCUUAACCCAGGAGGUGCGUUUAAGACUGGAAGACUUGAGUGUGAGAGAGGAAAAUGGAAUUCCUAGUGUAGAGGUGAAAUUCGUAGAUAUUAGGAAGAACACCUGUGGCGAAGGCGGUUUUCUGGCUCACAACUGACGCUGAGGCGCGAAAGCGUGGGGAGCAAACAGG
rnacentral:rRNA from 1 species